rnacentral:rRNA from 1 species
CCUACGGGCGGCAGCAGUGGGGAAUAUUGGACAAUGGGCGAAAGCCUGAUCCAGCCAUGCCGCGUGUGUGAAGAAGGCCUUCGGGUUGUAAAGCACUUUCAGUGGGGAAGAAAGCCUUGGGGCUAAUACCCUCGAGGAAGGACAUCACCCACAGAAGAAGCACCGGCUAACUCCGUGCCAGCAGCCGCGGUAAUACGGAGGGUGCGAGCGUUAAUCGGAAUUACUGGGCGUAAAGCGCGCGUAGGCGGUCUGAUAAGCCGGUUGUGAAAGCCCCGGGCUCAACCUGGGAACGGCAUCCGGAACUGUCAGGCUAGAGUGCAGGAGAGGAAGGUAGAAUUCCCGGUGUAGCAGUGAAAUGCGUAGAGAUCGGGAGGAAUACCAGUGGCGAAGGCGGCCUUCUGGACUGACACUGACGCUGAGGUGCGAAAGCGUGGGUAGCAAACAGGAUUAGAUACCCCAGUAGUC